rnacentral:lncRNA from 1 species
UGGGUUUAAUUUUCAGACUUAUAUGAAUAUGAAAUCUAUAUUCUUUGGGGAUGCAUUAUGUUGUAGGGCAAGCUAGGGUAACAGUUUUUAAAGCCCUCCUUUUUUCAAAUAAUUUGCCAGAAGAAGGGUUGAAUAGGGGAAUUAUUCAUACCAUUUGCACAACAUCAACAACGCAUACCCCUCCUAAACGAUUUUUUUCUAUUUAUCUUCAUUUUGUCGGAAUAUGAAUGUUCUAUGAUUUUUUGAUUUUAGUAUAAAUGAAUGGACACUUGUUUACUUGGUUGUGCUAUGAUG